CUGGCUUGCCUGGGGGUGAGGAGCUGAGACAGGGGGCAUUUUUGAAACUACAGAGGGCAUCUUAAUAGAAGACAGAUGUAGGGAGGCUAUUGGUGAAGACUGUUGCAGCAUAGUUUUUCCAGUGUGAAAUGCUGGGAAGGAUGCUGAGAGUCUGCCUGGGAUGUUUAGUGCGACACUUGCUUCUGCACCUGUAUUCCUUUUGGAUGACACUGUGUGAUGUGUCACCUCUGAGGAUGAUUUUUGUCUGGGCACUGAUUCUUACAGUUGGAAGAGGGAAGAAGUCUCCCUGAGAAUGUGUUCAACUAAGGUCAGUUUAAUUUACAUCUUUCGAAUCCAACUUCCAUUCAUAUAAAAAAAGACAGACUUGUUCCUUUGAAGUUUUCUGAUCUCUGCCCAGAUUAGGCAUGUAGGUGGCUUAGGGCAGGUCCCUUAUUCUCUCAGGGCCUUCCCACAUCCGUAAAAUGGACCAGCAGAGCCAGUUGAUUCCUUGGGCGAUUCUGGCUCUAACCUACCUGUCAGUGGUUUGUUCUAUAUAGAUAGUCCCUUCCACCAAAUUAUACACUCAACUGGUGACUUGUGUCUAUAAUUACAUUAAUAAAGCCCCAGAGGCUCAGACAAACACGGAGAACAUCAACUGUGGGAUCAUUUGGAACCAAGAAGAUAAUGAUACGCUGUACCAAUGUGUUUUGUACACACACACUGACUGGAAAUUUGUUCAAGUCUAAA
rnacentral:lncRNA from 1 species